GCCCCUUUUACAUCAGCAGUUGUCACAAAGUGCUUUUACAAAACACCCAGCCUUAAACCCCAAGAGCAAACAACAGUAGUGUUGAAUUUCAGUGGCUAGGAAAAACUCCCUAAGAAAGCCAAAAUUUAGGAAGAAACCGAGAGAGGACCCAGGCUCAGAGGGGUGACCAGUCCUCUUUUGUCUGUGCAAGGUGAACAUAUUAAGAUUACAAUUGUAAUAAUUAAUAAAUGCGCGUGGGCUGAGUCUAAAGUCUAUUUAAACUUAGUCCAGGUCGAAAGCAUGACCAGAUGGACAUGAAAAGGGUUAGGGUUGACAGGUGUGGUUCGCAUUGAUUGUGUGGUCGGGUGGAGGUUGACAUUGAUUGGGUGGUCGGGUGGAGGUUGACAUUGAUUGUGUGGUCGGGUGGAGGUUGACAUUGAUUGUGUGGUCGGGUGGAGGUUGACAUUGAUUGGGUGGUCGGGUGGAGGUUGACAUUGAUUGUGUGGUCGGGUGGAGGUUGACAUUGAUUGUGUGGUUAGGUGGAGGUUGACAUUGAUUGUGUGGUCGGGUGGAGGUUGACAUUGAUUGUGUGGUCGGGUGGAGGUUGACAUUGAUUGGGUGGUCGGGUGGAGGUUGACAUUGAUUGUGUGGUCGGGUGGAGGUUGACAUUGAUUGUGUGGUCGGGUGGAGGUUGACAUUGAUUGGGUGGUUAGGUGGAGGUUGACAUUGAUUGGGUGGUUAGGUGGAGGUUGACAUUGAUUGUGUGGUUAGGUGGAGGUUGACAUUGAUUGUGUGGUCGGGUGGAGGUUGACAUUGAUUGUGUGGUCGGGUGGAGGUUGACAUUGAUUGGGUGGUCGGGUGGAGGUUGACAUUGAUUGGGUUAACUACUGACAUUGUACCAAUGGAUGUCUGGAGAGGUUCUUCCUUCUUUAGGAGGGUUAGGAGGAGUGGGAGUGAAUGGGAGGGUUAGGAGGAGUGGGAGUGAAUGGGAGGGUUAGGAGGAGUGGGAGUGAAUGGGAGGAUUAGGAGGAGUGGGAGUGAAUGGGAGGGUUAGGAGGAGUGGGAGUGAAUGGGAGGGUUAGGAGGAGUGGGAGUGAAUGGGAGGGUUAGGAGGAGUGGGAGUGAAUGGGAGGGUUAGGAGGAGUGGGAGUGAAUGGGAGGGACUGAAAAUCAUUGAAGGGAAAACAGGAUGAAAAGGUGUGAGACAAAUGUAGAAGAAAAUAUAGAUUCUGCUAAUGCUAACAAUAACAACCAAUGUAAUAAAGCUGUGUGAACAUGUUACAGAUUAUCAAUGGUUGUUUGAGGAGCUGCAUGGAUCCCUGAAUAAAUACCAACAACAAUAUAAAUGUGGUUAUUGGAAGGCCUUUAUGGACACAGAAUGACAAGCCAGUCAUAUCAUAUAAACUUUCAUUCUCAUGCAUAAAACUGCUGAUACAACCUGUUGCAAACCUCCAGUAUCACAACAAUUAUAGAUAGUAAAACGCAUUUCAGACCUUCAUCAGGUGUUGUUUUUGAUGGAUGUCCUUAAGUUCCAUGAGAAGUUACACUUUGCAAGGUCAGUAAUGGGGAUCCUUAUGGAGACAAACAGUCUAAAUGGUUCUACUAACGCCGCUUUCAUUAAGUGCAGCUAAAUACACCUGAUUCUAUUCAUUGGAAAUUGGAAAGAUCUAACACACCACGUUAACAAUUCCUUUAAAGCCAUCCCACCCAGUCUGCCUUCUUAAUAAGAUAAUCUGUGGCCCUCAAAAAAAACUUGAAAAUAUCUGUCUCCAUUAAGGCUAUCGUCUUGUUGUAGAUGUCUUCCAUUUCAGGCAAUGGUUCGGUGCUCUCUGGACAAUGCUCUAAACACACACACACGUACACACACGUACACACACACGUACACACACGUACACACAGAGGAGGAGAAUCAGAAAGACCCACACAGUCAGAUAAUGAAACAUGACAGUUUAUAGUAAUCACUGUAAUAUUGUGGCCGAUGUGGGAUUGUCUAGCCCAUUGGCUGUCAGAAGUUCUAUCAGUCUCUCCGAUAGUGCCUGACACAGCAUAUCCAAGGGCACCCUCUAGUGGUGACUCUAUGCCAUGCCGCUAACAGCCACCAGGAUGUGUCCCGCUAGUCGCGAAUGUGCUGUGGGAGACAGUCAGCUGGAAAGAAAAUGUUUUUUGUGUCGUUUCAUCUUUAGUAUUUUUUUAAUCCUCAGCACAUUGGUAGAUUUUUACCCGUGUUUAUUACUAGGUUAAAACAUUUAAACGCCAUUGAGUUGCUAGUUCACAGCUGUAAAGAUUGCAUAACAUUAUUUGCUGCAGCUGCAAAUAAUGUUUGGUGUUGACGUCGGCCCAAAUUAAAUCCAUAACGGUUGUUCUAUAUAGCAGCCUAUGUAUUUCAUAUUUGUGUCAUUAAGGAUUCUUUUACACUGUACUUUCAUAGUGACUGUUGACAAAAAUAGAUAUUUUUUCUUUCGAAUUUAAUAUAUUGAAACCCACAGGCCAAAUAAUUACUGACACACUAAACAAAUUCUGAAAGAAGAUCAGAA
ensembl:lncRNA